rnacentral:rRNA from 1 species
GACGAACGCUGGCGGCGUGCCUAACACAUGCAAGUCGAGCGACUGCAUUCUUUUCGGAGGGUGUAUGGAGCGGCGAACGGGUGAGUAACACGUGAGUAAUCUGCCUUUGGCUUGGGAAUAACUUCGGGAAAUCGGGGCUAAUGCCUGAUGUUUACUGUCUGCUGCAUGGUGGGUGGUGGAAAGAUUUUUUGGCCAGGGAUGAGCUCGCGGUCUAUCAGCUGUUGGUGGGGUAAUGGCUUACCAAGGCUUUGACGGGUAGCCGGCCUGAGAGGGCGACCGGCCACACUGGGACUGAGACACGGCCCAGACUCCUACGGGAGCAGCAGUGGGGAAUCUUGCGCAAUGGGCGAAAAGCCUGACGCAGCGACGCCGCGUGAGGGAUGACGGCCU